rnacentral:miRNA from 1 species
AAUUCAUUGGCCCCAAUUUCCUUAAUAUUAUAAUAAAUAACUUGUUUUGUGUGCUCCAAAGUAGCAGUAAAAGUAGACUGGGUAAACAUUUGCUGUAUCUAUUUCUGUAAUACAUCUCCCACAUUAUAUAUACAAAUUAAAGCUUCAAGGCUGUGGUUAAUUUUAAGCCUAGUCAAGAUGGCAGCACACCCACGUUCCCAGGCUUAA